UUGAAAGUAGAACAAAAAUAUAACAAAC
rnacentral:piRNA from 1 species